rnacentral:SRP_RNA from 1 species
GCCUGUAGUCCCAGCUACCGGGGAGGCUGAGGCUGGAGGAUCGCUUGAGUCCAGGAGUUCUGGGCUGCUGUGCGCUAUGCCGAUCGGGUGUCCACACUAAGUUCGGCAUCAAUAUGGUGACCUCCCGGGAGCGAGGGACCACCAGGUUGCCUAAGGAGGGGUGAACCGGCCCAGGUCGGAAACGGAGCAGGUCAAAACUCCCGUGCUGAUCAGUCAUUUUUUUAUUUUAAAAUUGUGUGGUACAAAUUCAGGGUUACGUAUACAAAUAUUCAUU